GCGGGAGUAGCACAGUGGUAGUGCUUCAGCCUUCCAAGCUGGCCACGCGGGUUCGAUUCCCGUCUCCCGCU
rnacentral:tRNA from 1 species